GAUGCAGCGAUGCCGCGUGAGUGAAGAAGACCCUUGGGUGUAAAAGCUCUUUCGUCGGGGAGAAAAAUGACUGUACCCGAAUAAGAAGUUCCGCUAACUUCGUGCCAGCAGCCGCGGUAAUACGAAGGGACCUAGCGUAGUUCGGAAUUACUGGGCUUAAAGAGUUCGUAGGUGGUUGAAAAAGUUAGUGGUGAAAUCCCAGAGCUUAACUCUGGAACUGCCAUUAAAACUUUUCAGCUAGAGUAUGAUAGAGGAAAGCAGAAUUUCUAGUGUAGAGGUGAAAUUCGUAGAUAUUAGAAAGAAUACCAAUUGCGAAGGCAGCUUUCUGGAUCAUUACUGACACUGAGGAACGAAAGCAUGGGUAGCGAAGAGGAUUAGAUACCCUCGUAGUCCAUGCCGUAAACGAUGUGUGUUAGACGUUGGAAAUUUAUUUUCAGUGUCGCAGGGAAACCGAUAAACACACCGCCUGGGGAGUACGACCGCAAGGUUAAAACUCAAAUGAAUUGACGGGGACCCGCACAAGUAGUGGAGCAUGUGGUUUAAUUCGAAGAUACGCGCAGAACCUUACCAACACUUGACAUGUUCGUCGCGACUCUAAGAGAUUAGAGUUUUCGGUUCGGCCGGACGAAACACAGGUGCUGCAUGGCUGUCGUCAGCUCGUGUCGUGAGAUGUUGGGUUAAGUCCCGCAACGAGCGCAACCCUCACUUUUAGUUGCCAUCAUUAAGUUGGGCACUCUGAAAGAACUGCCAGUGAUAAGCUGGAGGAAGGCGGGGAUGACGUCAAGUCCUCAUGGCCCUUACGUGUUGGGCUACACACGUGCUACAAUGGCAUCUACAACAGGAAGCAAAACGGCAACGUUAAGCAAAUCCCGAAAAGAUGCCUCAGUUCGGAUUGCACUCUGCAACUCGAGUGCAUGAAGCUGGAAUUACUAGUAAUCGUGGAUCAGCGUGCCACGGUGAAUGCGUUCCCGGGUCUUGUACACACCGCCCGUCACACCAUGGGAGUUGGUUCUACCUUAAGGCAAAGGUUUAAACCCUGACC
rnacentral:rRNA from 1 species